rnacentral:rRNA from 1 species
AUUGAACGCUGGCGGCAGGCCUAACACAUGCAAGUCGAGCGGAGCGGCGGACGGGUGAGUAAUGCCUAGGAAUCGGCCUGGUCGUGGGGGAUAACGUCCGGAAACGGGCGCUAAUACAGCACACUAUCAGAUGAGCCUAGGUCGGCUUAGCUAGGUGGUGGGGGAAAGGCCUACCAAGGCGACGAUCCGUACCUGGGCUGAGAGGAUGAUCAGUCACACUGGAACGGAGACACGGUCCAGACUCCUACGGGAGGCAGCAGUGGGGAAUAUUGGACAAUGGGCGAAAGCCUGAUCCAGCCAUGCCGCGUGUGUGAAGAAGGUCUUCGGAUUGUAAAGCACUUUAAGUUGGGAGGCGUUACCAACAGAAGAAGCACCGGCUAACUUCGUGCCAGCCGCCGCGGGAAUAC